ACAGCUCUCAGAGCAGAUCCUGCGCAUCAUUCUGCCCAAGCCCUCCCGGAGUUGGCGUCGUGCAAUUUGUUCUGAAACUUCAGCCUCCACCUUGGUGGUGGCUUUUCUUCUCCUAGAAGCCAACAGUGAUUCUUGGAGUGGUAGUGAGAGGGACCACCGUAUCUGCCACUUGACAGAUCUAUAUAUCAUCUGGGUCCAAUGGAGAAGAAAAUAGAAGACAUAUCCAUGGAAGUCCUCAAGGAAAAAGAAAAGAAGCAAGGCUUCAGUGGAUGCCCAUGAAGCCCACAGACAGCAGGAGCUGCACAAAAGCCAGAGAGUAAGUAAGUUCACAUUUCAAACUUACUCUCUGGUCACUUUGCCUCUCUGAGUAGAAGUGGAUUUCUCAGAUUCCUUGUAGGUGUGUUUUACUUUAUGUCUCAGUAGAAAUACCUUACAACCAUUGCAUAUAGACAUAUAAUAAUUUAAAAUUCUAUAAAGUAAACUGCUGUCCCAAUAGUUCAUUCAGAGGAUCUUCCAAUUACAUUUUUUCUUUAAUUUUAAAAAGGGAGAGUGCCAAUUCAGUCCUUCACUGCCACAAAUUGUGCAGUUGAAUUUCCCAUGUCUGGGGAAACCAUGGGGGGCCCCAGGAAUGAAGUGGACGAGCUUUGCCCUGGGGAAACCAUGCUUGCAAACAUGGUGUCUCCCCUGUGAGGUAAAUAUGGCCCUGUAAGUUUUUGUUUUACCUUUUGAAAAAAUUAUACUCUUGUGAUUCUAAUUAAUUGUAUUUGUUUCUUUUUUAUUCUUUUUAUAUUUUGUUUCUGAUGCCUUAAUCUUUCUAUAGUUGUAUAUACUGAAUUGAGACCUACAUAUUUUCACCAAAAUGAAAACAAAAUCUGUCUGUUCCUGUCAUCCUUGUAGUAAUAUUAUUUUUGUAGGCUACAAACGACAUAUGCUCUUUUCCCUAUUCAUACACAAUACCGGCUUUAACCCUGAAAUGCAAUUUAUAAAAGGGCAUUUUAAACAAUAAUACAGUUGAUUGUAGGUAUUUUAAAAACAUAAAACAUUAAGAAAAACUAGCAUUUGUAGACUUCUAAUAUUGAGAGAUAGUAAACUUCUAUUUUUUAAAAAAUAGAUUUUGGAACAUACUUUGUCUUCUUUCUGUCCUGGUAUUUUCCUGAAAUAAAGCAGACUACGUACGAAGCACA